rnacentral:rRNA from 1 species
UACAUGUGGGGCAAGCGUUGUUCGGAAUUACUGGGCAUAAAGGGUGCGUAGGCGGCGCGGUAAGUCGGGUGUGAAAUCUUGGAGCUUAACUCCGAAACUGCAUUCGAUACUGCCGUGCUUGAGGACUGGAGAGGAGACUGGAAUUUACGGUGUAGCGGUGAAAUGCGUAGAUAUCGUAAGGAAGACCAGUGGCGAAGGCGGGUCUCUGGGCCGUAACUGACGCUGAGGAGCGAAAGCGUGGGGAGCGAACAGG